UACGAAGGGGGCUAGCGUUGCUCGGAAUCACUGGGCGUAAAGCGCACGUAGGCGGAUCUUUAAGUCAGAGGUGAAAUCCCAAGGCUCAACCUUGGAACUGCCUUUGAUACUGGGGAUCUCGAGUCCGGAAGAGGUUGGUGGAACUGCGAGUGUAGAGGUGAAAUUCGUAGAUAUUCGCAAGAACACCAGUGGCGAAGGCGGGUCUCUGGGCCGAAACUGACGCUGAGGAGCGAAAGCGUGGGGAGCAAACAGG
rnacentral:rRNA from 1 species